GAGUUUGAUCGUGGCUCAGAUUGAACGCUGGCGGCAGGCUCAACACAUGCCAAGUCGAGCGGGGGAGGUUGCUUCGGUGACUGACCUAGCGGCGGACGGGUGAGUAAUACUUAGGAAUCUGCCUAUUAAUGGGGGGACAACAUCUCGAAAGGGAUGCUAAUACCGCAUACGCCCUACGGGGGAAAGCAGGGGAUCACUUGUGACCUUGCGUUAAUAGAUGAGCCUAAGUCGGAUUAGCUAGUUGGUGGGGUAAAG
rnacentral:rRNA from 1 species